CAGCUUCACCAAAACCAAGGUUAUCCCUGAAAAACUCAACACUUUGAUCGUAUGAAGCAAGCAUCCCCAUGUUCAAUGCCAUUGCUCUCACAACAGUAGGGCCUGCACCUUUCCAAAGUGCCAAAACCCCUUCAUCUGCCACAAUUCGGUAAAGGGCAUGGAAGGCAUUUGUGUAAUUUCGACGCUGAGCAGCAGGUAAAGUAGCAUCAGCCUGCAUACGGAUAAGCGCUAAAUCUGCCGGACUGCCAACACAUGCCCCAAUAGCACCAGCAGUCAGCCCACACAAAGCCUUCUGAUAUAGAGGAAGGGGCUUCCCAUCAUUGGCUUCAAUUGCUUUGUUGGUC
rnacentral:lncRNA from 1 species